UGGCUCAGCAGUAGAGCACUCACCUAGCAUGUGAGAGGCCCUGGGUUCGAUCCUCAG
rnacentral:tRNA from 1 species